rnacentral:tRNA from 1 species
GCAGGAGUAGCUUAGUCGGUAGAGCGGUCGGCUGUUAACCGGCAGGUCGCAGGUUCGAUCCCUGUCUCCUGCGCCA